GACGAACGCUGGCGGCGUGCUUAACACAUGCAAGUCGAACGGAAAGGCCCUGCUUUUGUGGGGUGCUCGAGUGGCGAACGGGUGAGUAACACGUGAGUAACCUGCCCUUGACUUUGGGAUAACUUCAGGAAACUGGGGCUAAUACCGGAUAGGAGCUCCUGCUGCAUGGUGGGGGUUGGAAAGUUUCGGCGGUUGGGGAUGGACUCGCGGCUUAUCGUCUUGUUGGUGGGGUAGUGGCUUACCAAGGCUUUGCCGGGUAGCCGGCCUGAGAGGGUUACCGGCCACAUUGGGACUGAGAUACGGCCCAGACUCCUACGGGAGGCAGCAGUGGGGAAUAUUGCACAAUGGGCGGAAGCCUGAUGCAGCAACGCCGCGUGCGGGAUGACGGCCUUCGGGUUGUAAACCGCUUUCGCCUGUGACGAAGCGUGAGUGACGGUAAUGGGUAAAGAAGCACCGGCUAACUACGUG
rnacentral:rRNA from 1 species